rnacentral:rRNA from 1 species
UACGAAGGGGGCUAGCGUUGUUCGGAAUCACUGGGCGUAAAGGGCGCGUAGGCGGCUUUAUAAGUCGGGGGUGAAAGCCUGUGGCUCAACCACAGAAUUGCCUUCGAUACUGUAGAGCUUGAGACCGGAAGAGGUAAGUGGAACUGCGAGUGUAGAGGUGAAAUUCGUAGAUAUUCGCAAGAACACCAGUGGCGAAGGCGGCUCACUGGCCCAUAACUGACGCUGAGGCACGAAAGCGUGGGGAGCAAACAGG